rnacentral:lncRNA from 1 species
UUUUGAGUAAUUCCCACUUAUUCUCUUUCAAAUAAAUAGCAUCUGCCUUCUAAUUUUUAAGAAAGAGAAAAUUCUGGCUUUAGUUGGCUUAUUCAAAUGGAGGACAAACAAACAGUUAACCACAAUGUACUACUGGUUUUGAAAUACCAUUGUAACAUCAAAUUUAUUUCUACUGUUGAUCUGACUAAUUUAAGGAUUUUUUAAACUUGAUAAAUGCUUAAUAAUGACUACUUAAUGAAUACUUUUGCUGUGAAGCUUAAAUAUAAUCAUCAUCAUAAAUACUUUGAUUUACUUACUAUGGAUCAGGCAGCUCUCCAAGUGCUUUAUGUACGUAAAUGCGUUUAGUUUCCUAUUCUAUUGUACAGGUGAGGAAAAUGAAGCCAGGUGGGGUAGAGUGACCUGCCCAAGGUCACUCUGGCAAGUGGCAGAGUCAAGGAUUUUAACCCAGAUAGACUGGCUCUAGAGCCUAUGCUCUUAACAUCACAUUAUCCUAUUACCCUGCCCCUCUUAAGUGAAUGAAUUUAAUUUUAAGGAACAUAUGAUCAUUUAGGUGUAUUACCAAAUAUAACUUGCUCCACGAGCUUAAUUUUUCCAACAAUAAUACAAUGGCAUUGUUAGCUUAUGAUAUUGUGCUUCCUGAGCUCUUCCUAUAUACAAUUCUUGACCUCAAAUCUAGUGCAAAAGUAAGAAUUAGAUUUCUAAACAGCACAAGCACAGUUUUCUUUAUUAAAAAAAAAAAAAAAUAGACUCACAAAGCACUUGGGAGUAUCAACCUGUCAGACCUAAGUUAAACAAGUAAGUAACUUAACAGAAGUCAAAACCCUGUAGGAGUACCCCAAAUGAAGAAAGUAAAGAGUUAAAACUCUUUCAUAAAUGCAUGGAAACAAGUGGCAAUCUCUAUGACAUUUUUUUGUCUCCCAAAAUAACAAAUGAAAAUGGAUUGAGGUAGAAAGAUUUUCUCACUCUCCUUAAUCCAAUCAUUUCAAAAAAGGUAUAAAAACCCUAUAUACCUUAAAUAUACACACACACAUAUACAUACAUACAUAUAUAUACAUACACACAUAUAUACACACACACACAUACACACACACACAAGGGUAAAAUUUUCCUAUCAUAAAUUUUACAAAACUACGUCUGUUCACCUAAAUAUCAGGUCAAUGUUAUUAUUUUAAUGAAUAGAGAGAGAGAACAGUUACAUUUCUUCUCACAAACUGGAAUAAUUUUUAAACUGAGAACAGGGCAAGGUGACCAGGAUCAUGAUGAAUACUCUUGUUGAGAUCAUCUCCUCUGAAGCUGAGACAUUUUCUUCCUCAUAGGAGGCCACAGACUCCUCUCUGAGAGUGGAAGAACAAAUCUUAUAUAAUUCUUUUUACUCAGAAUCUUGUUCCACUCUCUAAGUAAGAUAAAAUGAGUUGAAUCUAUUUUGGUGAUAACUGAAAUGUCCAAAAGCCCAUUUGCAAGCAAACCCAGAAGUAUGUCCUAUAAAUUGCUCACACUGUAGAAAGGCCAAAAUCAUCUGCAUUUAACCAUUAUCAACAAUGCCCUUGGGAGUUCUGGUCGUGGCGCAGUGGUUAACGAACCUGACUUGUAACCAUGAGGUUUCGGGUUUGAUCCCUGGCCUUGCUCAAUUUGUUAACCACUGAGCCACGACAGGAACUCCAAAGCAAGCAGCCAUUUCUUAAUUAACAAUGUGCUCAUUCAAAGGGAUGCAUAUCAGCCAUGUGGUCCCACUGUUGCCAUGACUGAAACCAAACAAGCAAUUUCGAGACAGCCUGGCCAAUAAAAAUGACUUUAGGCUCCAACCUGGGUAGCAGAAUGAACUGGCCUACCAUUGGGGGGAGAGGGGAGCCUAUUAGUCAGACCAACCUGCCAAUCCACAUCUCUCCUACUUUCAGUCUCCCAGCUGCCUUUCAAGCUUAGAAAGGGGAUGCUUUACCUCUAUAGCAUGCUGCAAUGAUUCAAGGGACCCAGACAACUCCAUUGACCAGAUUCUGGUGCUAAGAAAAUAUUACUAAUCCCUAUCAAGUUUUAAUCCAGAGACAAUGAAAAUAAAUGAGGAGUGUAUCUUCUAGAAAAAACUAUUUACCAGUAGCCCAUGGUUCCUUCAGCAUGUCAGUGUUCUCUAGUGAUGAUAGAGAUUGGAUAUUUUCAAAUAGCACCCACCCUAUCCACCCAGCAGAAGUUGAUCUCUAAAGUUCACUAUUAAUAUUAUAUCGCACAAUAUAAGCCUUCAGAAAAGAUUUGUGUUUUGUGUCAAGUAGAGUAUGUUGGCCCUAAGUUUGUUGAGCAGGAGGGCAAGGAAUUUCCUCUUACUAUAUCUGUGAUUGCACAAUCACCCAGUGGCUGGGUGAUUGGGGCACAGACCUUGGCCCAAUUCAUCUUCUUUUCAAAGCUAGACAGCAGUCACGUUUAUCCAACACAUUCUUGUGAUUCGGCCCCCAAAACCUAACUUCUUUGAACCAUCUGAGCACACUUCAUCAACAUAACUUGAACUUAGAGCUCCAAAAAUAUGAUCUGAAGAUCAUGAAGUUAAAUGAGCUCAGAUAUUCCUAACAGGCCAAAGAUUUCAGCUGUAAUGGAAAAAUACUGAGAACAUUAUGUACAUCUUCAGAUUCUCAGGCAUUAUUGGUCCUUCAUUCUCAUUUCCCCCCU